UCAGAAAGUGGUGGACCCCUUCAGC
rnacentral:piRNA from 1 species